GGCGGCUGAGGUAGUGGUGGUGGCUACAGUGACGGCCUGGACCCAGGCGGGUAGAGUUGGAGGUGGUGGCGUUCCCUUUCCCUAGGGGCCGUCAGGAGCUCAGCGAGGACCGAGCCUAGGAGGCUGGCCAGCGCCAGCACCUUGCCGCUUUUGGGACCGUGGCAGCAGCGGCGUUCAGAUUCUAAAUGGCUUCUAAGAAGUUGGGUGCAGAUUUUCAUGGGACUUUCAGUUACCUUGAUGAUGUCCCAUUUAAGAUAGGAGACAAAUUCAAAACACCAGCUAAAGUUGGUCUACCUAUUGGCUUCUCCUUGCCUGAUUGUUUGCAGGUUGUCAGAGAAGUACAGUAUGACUUCUUGUUGGAAAAGAAGACCAUCGAGUGGGCUGACGAUAUUAAGAAAAUCCAAGAAGUUGAGCGGGAAGCAGAGCGCAAGAUUGAGAAAGCAGAAGCUAAAGGGAAUUCACAGAGUGGCCCAGAGGGUGAUAGCAAAAUGAGCUUUUCCAAGACUCACAGUAGAGCCACGAUGCCACCUCCUAUUAACCCCAUCCUUGCCAGCUUAUAGCACAAUAGAAUCCUCACCCCAAUUCGGGUCAGCAGUAGUGCCACGAAACAGAAAGUUCUCAGCCCACCCCACACAAAGGCAGAUUUCAAUCCUGCUGACUUUGUGUGUGAAGAAGACCCAUUUGAUAAUCUGGAGUUAAAAACUAUUGAUGAGAAGGAAGAACUGAGAAACAUUUUGGUAGGAACCACUGGACCCAUUAUGGCUCAGCUAUUGGACAAUAACUUACCCAGAGGAGGUUCUGGGUCUAUGUUAGAGGAUGAGGAGGUUCUGGCAUCCUUGGAGCGGGUGACCCUAGACUUCAAACCUCUUCAUAAACUCAAUGGCUUUAUAACCUUACUACAGUUGGGCAACUGUGAAAAGAUGUCGCUGUCUUCCAAAGUGUCCCUCCCCUCCAGCCCUGCAGUAAGCAAUAUCAAAUCCCUGUCCUUCCCUAAACUUGACUCUGAUGACAACAAUCAGAAGACAGCCAAACUGGCAAGCACUUUCCAUAGCACAUCCUGCCUCCGCAGUGGCAUGUUCCAGAAUUCCCAAAAGCCUUCUACCCAAAGCAGUGCCAGUGAGCUCAGUGGGCAUCAUACUCUUGGGCUUUCAGCUUUGAACUUGGUCAGUGGCACAGAGAUGCCAACCCUGACGCGCCGCCCGAUGCCUUCCCACUCUUUAUUGUCUGUGUACAUGGAAGAAUCAUCACCUCCAAAUACAGGUCCCACAUGCCCAACAUGCCCAGCUGUCCCCAGGCCUAUUCUGAACUACAGACACUGUCUCCCAGUGAGCGGCAGUGUGUGGAGACAGUGGUCAACAUGGGCUACUCAUAUGAGUGUGUCCUGAGAGCCAUGAAGAAAAAAGGAGAGAACAUUGAACAGAUUCUCGACUAUCUCUUUGUACAUGGACAGCUUUGUGAGAAGGACUUUGACCCUCUUUUAGUGGAAGAGGCUCUGGAAAUGCACCAGUGUUCAGAAGAGAAGAUGAUGGAGUUUCUUCACUUUAUGAGCAAAUUUAAGGAAAUGGGCUUUGAACUGAAAGACAUUAAGGAGGUUUUGCUAUUACACAAUAAUGACCAGGACAAUGCUUUGGAAGACCUCAUGGCUCGGGCAGGAGCCAGCUGAGACCAGGCCCUGCCUAGAUCCUGUUGCAGAGACAACACCCCCAGGAGGCCCUGCAGAGCCCACUUAUGGGAAAGGAGAAGGGGCGCACUUCUGGAUUUUCUUUUGGGGUUUAGAAGGUCAGAUGUAGAGACUGUGCUUGCCAGUCUCUGAGCCUAGGCCAUUAGCUGGGGAGAAAGGGGGGGAAGAUCUGGGCAUGUGAAUGGCCCCAGAACAGUGCUGGCUCCUUCCAUAUGAAAUGUAUUUGCAAUUUGAGAAGCGUCCUUCCCACCUCAGCCCUCCAGAGAGACUGUCCUGGUCUUUCUGGGGUCUUUGUGUACUCAGCUGAAACCUGGCUAAGAGUUGUCAGGGAGCAGGGGUGAGAGGACGAGACUCAGUGCUGCUUUCCCUCCACUCUACACAGUGGACUGAACUCCAAUUUUAAGUUGAGUGCAAGUGAAAGUUUUUUUUAGGGCUUUAUUUUUCCCUCCUUUUAACAAAGUCUCUUAAUGUUGACACUGGUUCUGCAAAGCCUCUGAG